rnacentral:rRNA from 1 species
ACUCAAAGGAAUUGACGGGGGCCCGCACAAGCGGCGGAGCAUGUGGAUUAAUUCGAUGCAACGCGAAGAACCUUACCUGGGUUUGACAUGCACAGGACGCGCCUGGAGAUGGGUGUUCCCUUGUGGUCUGUGUGCAGGUGGUGCAUGGCUGUCGUCAGCUCGUGUCGUGAGAUGUUGGGUUAAGUCCCGCAACGAGCGCAACCCUUGUCUCAUGUUGCCAGCACGUGAUGGUGGGGACUCGUGAGAGACUGCCGGGGUCAACUCGGAGGAAGGUGGGGAUGACGUCAAGUCAUCAUGCCCCUUAUGUCCAGGGCUUCACACAUGCUACAAUGGCCGGUACAAAGGGUGGCGAUGCCGUGAGGUUCAGCGAAUCCUGAUAAGCCGGUCUCAGUUCGGAUCGGGGUCUGCAACUCGACCCCGUGAAGUCGGAGUCGCUAGUAAUCGCAGAUCAGCAUUGCUGCGGUGAAUACGUUCCCGGGCCUUGUACACACCGCCCGU